UGACAAAAAUAUGAAAGGUAAUAAUAAUAAUUUAAAAAAAAUAAUCGUUUAGUGACAUCCAAGCUCCAAGCGAUAAUGCUCGUUUGCCGAACAAAAACGUUGCUGGAAGAUCUUCCUUCGCCAUAUACCUUGUAUGAACUUGUAAUAAAAUCUGUUUGGCUAUACCUUCGAUCAACAAUAGUAACUAGAUUUCGGGUCGGUGCAUAAAAUCCGUCUCGUCAAAUAACAGCGCACUUGAAAUGUGAGCUCUUAUUUUGUUUAGUUCACUUCAAACACAGCCAAUGUCAACCCGUCUCACAAUACCGCAGUGUGUAUUCAAAAGUUGCAAAAAUAAGGCCCGAAAAAGCAAUUUAACGGCCGGAGUAUCUUACUUUCGCUUUCCUAGCAAUCACGUGUGCAGAAUGGAUCUCGAUUGUCGCCAGAGAAACAAGAGAUGACUUUUAUAAGCCAGCUAAGAACUCCGCUUAUUGACACUGGACAUCUUUGCCUUCCGUGCUCACGGCUACUGAAAUGUGGCCGAAACAUUGUAAUAAAAAUACCACGCUUGAAACCGUUUAAA